rnacentral:tRNA from 4 species
GCCCAGGUGGCGGAAUUGGUAUACGCGCAGGACUGAGGCUCCUGGCCGUUUUUCGGCAUGCGGGUUCGAGUCCCGCCCUGGGCA